AGGUCGAUGAUGAGAACCUUAUAUUGUCUGAAGAGAGGUGAUGACAUAAAAUCAGCUGCUCAAUAGGAUUCUGCUUUGAGGCCC